UAAUACUCCAUAGUUCGUUAUUACUGGAAUGUUUUUCGAACGAAAGAUCCGUCGCUUCAGGAUGAGUCUGCGGCCGAUUAGGUAGUUGUUGGGGUAAUUGCCCAACAAGCCUGUAAUCGGUACGGGUUGUGGGAGCAAGGGCCCGGAGAUGGAUUCUGAGACACGAAUCCAGGCCCUACGGGGCGCAGCAGGCGCGAAAACUUUACCAUGCGGGCAACCGUGAUAAGGAAACCCCGAGUGCCAGCACAGGCUGGCUGUCCGCCAGUUUAAACAACUGGCGAAGAAAGGGCCGGGCAAGACCGGUGCCAGCCGCCGCGGUAAUACCGGCGGCUCGAGUGGUGGCCGCUAUUACUGGGCUUAAAGGGUCCGUAGCUUGAUAAUAGGGUCCCUUGAGAAAUCCGCCGGCUUAACUGGCGGGCGUUCAGGGGAAACUUGUUUUCUAGGGACCGGGAGAGGUGAGGGGUACUGCCGGGGUAGGAGUGAAAUCCUGUAAUCCCGGUGGGACCACCUAUGGCGAAGGCAUCUCACCAGAACGGGUCCGACAGUGAGGGACGAAAGCUGGGGGAGCAAACCGGAUUAGAUACCCGGGUAGUCCCAGCUGUAAACUAUGUGCGUUAGGUGUGU
rnacentral:rRNA from 1 species